UUGUUGUCGUCUGGAAAAGGCGAUUGCUCCCGGUUAAUGCGGGUGGUCUCGGCGCAUCGUCUCAUCGCAAAGCUCAAAGAGGAAGCACGUGUUAUUGUUGCGUCGUCCGACGGGUGGAGGAGGAGGAGGAGGAGGAGGAGGCGCCUUCAUGAGCCUUGCGGAUCAAUGUGCGCCGUCCCGCGGAAAAUCAACCGUAGCGACGUAUCGGUGACGAUCCGACCGACUAAUUGCGUUAUUUGCCGCAUUACGCUUUUGCUCGUGCGACUAACUACCCUUAGCCGCCACGUUGCGUUACUAAGCUUGAAAUCCAAGGAAAUCUCUCGAAUCUCGCCGGCGAGCGACGACAACUCCAACAACUAAUUGCGAAUAUACAAGCGUUGUAACCCUGAAACGCAUUGUCCAGAAUAUCACGACCCAAGGCGUCGAAAACGACAUCCUGACUCGCGAAAUUGU